rnacentral:lncRNA from 1 species
UUUGGCCCAAAAUUCCGUUUAUUUCCCCCAAAUUAGCCCCAUUUCGGGGGCGGGGUCAGCCCGGGGUCGCCCCGGGGUCAAAGGUCACUCGAGGAGGUCGAUGGUCACUCCGGGGUCAGAGGUCACUCAGGGGUCACUCCGGGAUGUCGAUGACCAUCGACGGUCACUUGUGGUCACUCCGAGGGUCAAAGGUCACUCUGGGAGGUCAAGGGUCACUCCGGGGUCACUCAGGGGUCAGCGGUCACUUAUGGUCACUCUGGGAGGUUACGGGGCCACUCAGAGGUCAGUCAGGGGUCAGAGGUCACUCUGGGAGGCCGAUGGUCACUCCGGGGUCACUCUGGGGUCACUCGGGGGUCAGCGGUAACUUGGGGGUCACUCGUGGUCACUCGGGGAGGUCGAUGGUCACUCAAAGGUCACUCCGGGGUCAAAGGUCACUCCGGGAGGCCAAUGGUCACUCAGAGGUCACUCCGGGGUCAAAGGUCACUCGGGGAGGUCGGUGGUCACUCAGAGAUCACUCCGGGGUCAAAGGUCAUUCCGGGAGGUCAAUGGUCACUCAGUGGUCACUCAGUGGUCACUCCGGGAGGUCGAUGGUCACUCCGGGGUCAAAGGUCACUCAGGGAGGUCGAUGGUCACUCAGUGGUCACUCAGGGGUCACUCCGGGGUCAGAGGUCACUCCGGGAGGUCGAUGGUCACUCAGGGGUCACUCCGGGGUCAAAGGUCACUCCGGGAGGUCGAUGGUCACUCCGGGGUCACUCCGGGGUCAGAGGUCACUCCGGGAGGUCGAUGACCAGCUCGUCGUCGCCGUCCAGGGGGUCGUCGCUGCCCUCCCCCUCCCCCUCCCCCGCGUCGCUGAGGAGCCGCCGCGGGACCGUGCUGGGCACGGGGGGAGGGGCGGGGGGCGG